rnacentral:rRNA from 1 species
CGAGGGGCAGCAUGAUUGAAGCUUGCUUCAAUUGAUGGCGACCGGCGCACGGGUGAGUAACGCGUAUCCAACCUUCCGUACACUCAGGGAUAGCCUUUCGAAAGAAAGAUUAAUACCUGAUGGUAUGAUGAGAUUGCAUGAUAGCAUCAUUAAAGAUUUAUCGGUGUACGAUGGGGAUGCGUUCCAUUAGGUAGUAGGCGGGGUAACGGCCCACCUAGCCUACGAUGGAUAGGGGUUCUGAGAGGAAGGUCCCCCACAUUGGAACUGAGACACGGUCCAAACUCCUACGGGAGGCAGCAGUGAGGAAUAUUGGUCAAUGGACGAGAGUCUGAACCAGCCAAGUAGCGUGAAGGAUGAAGGUCUUACGGAUUGUAAACUUCUUUUAUAAGGGAAUAAAACCUCCCACGUGUGGGAGCUUGUAUGUACCUUAUGAAUAAGCAUCGGCUAACUCCGUGCCA